AAAUUGAAGAGUUUGAUCAUGGCUCAGAUUGAACGCUGGCGGCAGGCCUAACACAUGCAAGUCGAACGGUAACAGGAAGCAGCUUGCUGCUUCGCUGACAAGUGGCGGACGGGUGAGUAAUGUCUGGGAAACUGCCUGAUGGAGGGGGAUAACUACUGGAAACGGUGGCUAAUACCGCAUGACGUCGCAAGACCAAAGAGGGGGACCUUCGGGCCUCUUGCCAUCAGAUGUGCCCAGAUGGGAUUAGCUUGUUGGUGAGGUAACGGCUCACCAAGG
rnacentral:rRNA from 1 species